GACGAACCGUACGAACGUUAUUCGGAAUCACUGGGCUUAAAGGGUGCGUAGGCGGUGCGGAAAGUUGGGUGUGAAAUCCCUCGGCUCAACCGAGGAAUUGCGCCCAAAACUACCGUGCUCGAGGGAGACAGAGGUGAGUGGAACUUAGGGUGGAGCGGUGAAAUGCGUUGAUAUCCUAAGGAACACCAGUGGCGAAAGCGACUCACUGGGUCUCUUCUGACGCUGAGGCACGAAAGCUAGGGGAGCAAACGGG
rnacentral:rRNA from 1 species